rnacentral:pre_miRNA from 1 species
UUAGUACUCCCUCCGACCCAUAUUACGUGUCGAAAUAUUACAUGUAUCUAGACGCUUUUUAAACAUAGAUACAUCCAUAUUUGUGGGCAAAUUUGAGACAAGUAAUGUGGGUUGGAGGGAGUACUUG